CCACAUCAUCACGCAUACUGUUCAGCACGGCCAAUAGCGAGAGUCUGAUGUGUACUGGCCAGGAAAAAAAAAAAACGCAGCCCACAUCCUCUCGUCACUCUCGCCUGCAUCUCUCUCUCUGAAGCGCUCUCUAUCCCUCUCUCGAACCUCUCUCCACCUCUCGGCCGGCGGCCGAUUCCGGCCGUUGCCGGCGGUCUCCGGCUCCGCCCAGCCCCCCUUGUGUUAUCCUCGAUCCGUCCUAUCUCCUCCACCAACUCGAUUUGACGCUCGCCUCGUCCUCCUGCCACCAUGGCUAACCCUAGCCGCCACUGUUGUCGGCAUAGGGCGCCGUUUUGGACGCCGGCGCGGCGUGGGGUGUAGACGGAAGGGGGUGGAGCAGGGAGGCUGAAGACCAAGGCGGCGGACGCCUCACGGAGUGGAGGAGAGGGCAAGGACAUGGACAAGGAGGAGCAGCGUCAUGGGUCUGCAGGGAAGGGGAGGGCCGCCGGAGACGCUCGUCCGCGAGCCUCCGAACAGGAAACCGGCGGGGAGCACGCCAUCGUAGGCGAAGGGAGGGGGAGACGUGGCGGUGGCUGGCUAGGCCAAGCCGCGAACGCCCAUCCGUGACUUUUGUUGGGGUCCGUCCCGUUCUUCCUCCCCUCACUCCGCCACUGUUGUCGCAUCUGUUCACACACACACACACACACACACACACACACACACACACACACACUCACGUUUUAGUUUCCUAAUAUGUGAUUCUUGUUUUUCUUUUCAUCUUGAUCCAAUUCAGGUGGAACGCUGCUCUGUUUUUCUGUCACUAAGCAAGUACAUAGCUGGCCACUAUCUUAUACUCCCUCCGUUGUGUGUACAGCUACGGUGUGGGGAAAUUGGGAAGCCAAAUGAGCACAGCUGUUCAGGAUGCGUGGAGUGGUGGGAUGCACCUUUAUUUACAUAGCACAUUAUAUUCAUGAUACCGUGGAGUACCGAUGAUCUUUUUUAUUAGGAAAUGGACAGUUCAACACAGAUGGAUGUAGUAUUAUACAAUGAAGAUAUCGAUUCGUUGUUUGCAGAA